rnacentral:lncRNA from 1 species
AAGACAAUGUAAUUUUAAACAUUACACUCAAUACUCUGCUUUCAAAACAGUUAGCAGUGGCAUAUAUAUAACACAAUAGUUAGAUGAAGAAUUUUAAUAUCCAUACCUGUAAUAAAAACUAAGUAUUUUUACUAAUUUUUUCUGACAAAUUUUAGACCACAUAUGUCUAUAUUUCAUUUAGCAUGCAGGUGUACUUUUACCAGAGUAAAAUUACUACCAAAAUUCCAAAUUUAUAAAAGUAAAGGAAUGUGUCUCCUAUUCAAAAGUAGAUUUACAAGACAAUCAUAUUUUAGCGCUUUUGAUUAAAAGUACUGCAAAACUAGCAAAGGUGUAAUUUGAGAUCCAGAAAAUGUCACAUCCACUGACAAAAAUAGUUAAUUUCUAAGUAUGAAGGCAUAUAUUUAAAAGGAUUCAGCAAAAGAAAUAAUCUGACCACUAAAUCAUCCUGUUAAUUAAACUAUGUUUAAACUCCACUUAUUUUUGGUACUUGCCUCAGGGGAAAAACAAACAUCUCUCAAAAGUUUAUUCAAUUUGUAUUGGGUACUAAUCAGCAAUUUUUCCUGGAUCAUACUUUCACUAAGUACUGAUAUUACAUUUAGGGAACUUUGGCCAUAACUUAAUGUAUUUCAGGCAAAAUGAAUCGACUUGACUCAUGGAUUCUAAAACAGUUUCCAAAAAUGGCUCCUAAGGAUAGUGAAUGUAAUAUGCAAACAGACUGUUACAAAGAUUUGUCUGAGCUAAGGUGAUUAUAAUGAGGUAAAGUCAUUUCUUGUCAUUUUUUAUUACACGCUACUCUCUUGAUAACAUUGUCUUCUAAUAGUAAUCAAAAAGGUCAUUUUGAACAAAAAUCUAUUGAGAGAUUAGCACCUACUUGGGAUAUGACUAUGAAGUUUGAAAGUAAGGUGACUAACCAAAUGCUUUUUAAUUACUUUAGCUUUACACAGCAAAUUUUGACAGAUGGUCCUUAGGGAAAACCUGCAGUAUUUUAUUAUGGGUAUAUGAUCUGAAGUUCUAAGUGAAGGGUUUGCUUUAAAUAUUGGCUUAUCCUCAUGAUAAUACAAUUUUAUUCUAAGAGACGGGUCUUGCUAUGUGGCUGGAGUGCAGUGGCUAUUCACAGGCACGAUUAUAGAGCACUACAGCCUCGAAUUACCAGGCUCAAGCAAUCCCCCGCCUCAGCCUCCCACGCCGCUGGGACUACAGGCACACCCCACCACACCCAGCAGUAAAUGUAAUUUUAUGUAUAAUAACUCAAUUUAUGUAAAUUUUGAUGAAUACAGCCAUCUUGUAAUGUGAUAUUAAUACUGUAAUUAUCAAUCAACAUGUAAGUUAGCAACCGUGUGCAAAAUUAGGCUCUGUGGCAACACACAACAAAACUGAACAGCCUACCUUGGAGAUUAUAAUCCAGUUUGGAAGACAUUAUGUAUGUAUCUCAACCCUCCGCACUACUGAUUUCUUGGGCCAGAUAAUUCUUCACUGUGGCAGGCUGUCCUGUGUACUGUAGGAUGUUUGGCAGCAUCCCUGGCCUCUACCCCAUAGAUGCCAAUAUUACAUCCCCCCAUCCCCCACCGCACCACUUGUGACAACCUAAAAUGUCCUCAGACUUUGCCAACUGUUCCCUUGUAGGGGGCAGGAGGAUGAUCCUCCCCUAGUUGAGAACCACUGGUACAAAUGAUGAUGGCCAUCUUCCAUCACUAUCACCACUGAAGCUCCCAAUCAUGCAGAGCUACUAGAGGCCAGCAAUAUGCCAAGGAUGGGCUAUUACUAACUCCAGAUGAGAAGACUAAGGCUUAAAGAAAAUUAAGCAAUAUGCCCCAAGUUUACUUAGCAAAGUGGGGUGCCCACAUAGUUCAACUACACAAUCCAUGCUGAAGGAUUUAUAAUAGACAGUAAGAGUCACAUAAAGAGUGAGACUGCCAUUAGCUGGCUAAAUGAUUAAAGAAGAAGAGAUGCAGUAGAUGUAUGUAAGUCUCAAAAAGAUCUCUGAAGUUUUUAGAUUCUUCACAGUUCCACCUAGUCUCACUCAGAUUUGUCAGUUUCUCUUAAUAUGUAUUGCUUAGAACUAAACCAAUAUUCCAAAUCUAAUAGCCAGACUAAUACACAGGAAAAUAAUAUAAUCUCCCUUGAUUUGAGCCCCAUCUUAUUAACAAAGCCCAAGACUGCAUUAACCUUUCUUUUUAGUAACUAACGUAAUCUGCUGGCUUAUAGUGAGUAUACAGUCAAUUAAAAUAGUCAAGUUUUACAGAGCAAGUCACUUUACCCUGCCCAAAGGUGUAGAAUUCAUUUUUUGAAUCCAAACGCAGAACUUCACACUCACCUCUAUAAAUGUUUUCCUUAAAUUUUGGUCUAGACUUUGGUCUAUUUUAUCACCAUGAUAUAGUUCAAUUAUUCAACAGAAUGAACUAUCCUUCUCAACCUUUUUUCCAAAAACCUAAUAUACAUUCUUUCUUUGGUUGCCCACAAGUCCUUGAAAAAUACUUAUCCUUCCUAUGUGUCCACCUGACUACCUAAGAUGUAGACAGAGGCCAAAAAGCCCUAUCAAAAUAUUCCCUCCAAAUUGACUAUUCCCUAAUCACCGUUCUCUGGGUACAGUUACCAACCUCAUAUACUUUACCCUACACUACUUUCACUCGGUUAAUAAUCCACCAUGUAAUCCUCAAUCUUAUCCCUUGUCAGAUAAUUUGAUCCCUUGACUGACCCAUUUGGCAACUGAGUAAAAGAGUGAACUAAAAUUAAUUUGCUGAGUUCAUUCAGAUGCUGAUGAUCACUGCUUACCCUAUUAAAUGCUCACAGCUCACUCAAUAGUCCACUUAAGAAACAGUUUCAGGGAUCAAUGUUACCACAGACAAUCUUAUUUUUUAGUUAGAUCCUUUAUACAAAAGUGGAAUAUGUAUCCAUCUAUAACCAAUUUUCAUUUCUCCCAUUAGUUCUCAAAGAUGAUCAACUGUGCUUUUAUAAUCAUACUCACAUACUUAUAAGUGUACUCUGGGCUGUCAACUUCUGCACCUGAAACCUGAAUUCACUUAAAUCGAUGAGGAAUUUUUUUAUUUUUCUCAUCUAAUUUGAACUUCAAUUUCAUAAUUACAUUAUUUGUUCUACUCUUUCUUAUAGGCAGACCUAUCCUCUUAUUAGAAAGCGAAACAAACAAACAACAAAAACAAAAUACAGAUCAGUUUUCUGUUACCUAACAACUGCAUCAUCUUCCCCAAGUAGUCAGAAACCUUUUUCUUCUUCCUCUAAAUGUUUAUUUAAGAAUCCUUUAAAUUGUGUUUUGGACAUGUAUACAUGCUAUCCUCUCUUUAGGAGUAAACUUUCUGGUCUAAAACUGUUCAAAGGUCCCUCCUCUUCUAUAAAGCCUUCCAAAAAAGCCCUAAGCACAGGUGGCUGUCACAUCCUUGGUCUUCUCUAGCAUUUUACGAAGCCUUCUCCUACCCACUGCUUGUCUUCCUCAUUAAAUUUUAAGUUAUUUAAGGAUGGGGAUGAUGUCAUAUUCAUCGAAGUACCUACUGUGCCUAGUGGCUGUGUCCUACAGUAACUCGGAGAUGCAGGACUUAAAGAGGUCAAAACUAGAGAUAUGAACUUGGAAGUCAACAGCAAAAAUGGCAGGAAAAAUAUAAAAGAAACAGCAUUAUUGAAAGAGAAAAUUCCUGUGAGAGGAAUGGAGAAGUGGAUCACCCUUUGGAGACGUACAUUAAAAAGGCAGGGUUUCUUCACUAUACCACUCCAGCCCAGCCUAUCACACAUGGAUAACUUCAACAGCAUUCUACUGGGUCUUGCUGCCUUUAGACUCACCCAUUUUCCAGUUCUGUAUAUCAAGGUUUUCCUCAAGCAUGAAACCUCCUCCAACAAAACUGCUAUAAAAUCUUUGUUGGUUCAUCGAUGUCUGAAGCACAAAGUUCAGACUCCUUAGCCUGGACCUAAAGAACCUGCAUAAUAGGUUCCAACUCCCCUACAUACAAGAAGUCAUGGUGGACGAGGAAAAGAAUCUGGACUCUAGUGUGGACUGUCACUAACCUACUUUGUGACUGCCAGCAAAGCACCAACCUCUCUGGCCUUGUUUACUCAUCUGCACCAAGGAGCUGAACUCCUACCAGGACUACAAAUGCUCCUUGACUUAUGAUGGGGUUACUUCCUAAUAAAUCCAUCUUAAAUUGAAAAUGUCAAAAGUCAAAAACACAUUUAACACACCUAACCUACUAAACAUCAGGCCUUAGCCUAGCCUACCUUAAAUGUGCUCAGAACACUUACACUAGCCUACAGUCGGCCAAAAUCAUCUAAUACAAAGCCUACUUUAUUAAAAAGUACUGGGUAUCUCAUGUAAUUUAUUGAAUACUGUACUGAAAGUGAAAAACAGAAUGGCUGUAUUGGUACUCAAAUAUGGCCUCUACUGACUGUGUAUGGAUUUCACACCAUCAUAAAGUCAGAAGAUUGUUGAACCACCAGAAGUUGGGGACCUUCAGCAGAGAUGUGUGAUUGUUGCUUUCCAAAUGUAUCUUCUAUUACUUCCCUAUAUGAACAUUCUCCUCCUUCUGGACUGCUUUAUUGUAAAGUAACAAGGUUUCAACGCACAAAGAAAAGGUGAAUUCUGACUUCUGGAUUCUGUUAUUGUCAUUUUUCCCAAUUUCCUUCUGUAAAAUAUCAAGAUUAGUACUUGCUGUUUCUAAUAAAGGAAGGAGCCGAGAAAGGCAAAUCUACGAAAACCUAA